AGAGUUGAUCAUGGCUCAGGACGAACGCUGGCGGCGUGCUUAACACAUGCAAGUCGAACGGGAGUAUUGAAGAAGCUUGCUUAGAGAUACUUUAGUGGCGGACGGGUGAGUAACGCGUGAGGAGCUGUCCUAUGCAGGGGGACAACAGCUGGAAACGGCUGCUAAUACCCCAUAAGCCGAGAGGUAAAGGAUCAAUCCGGCAGAGGAGGUACUCGCGUCCUAUCAGCUAGUAGGUGAGGUAACGGCUCACCUAGGCGAAGACGGGUAGCCGGCCUGAGAGGGCGAACGGCCACACUGGAACUGAGAUACGGUCCAGACUCCUACGGGAGGCAGCAGUGGGGAAUAUUGGGCAAUGGGGGGAAAAACCCCCUGACCCAGCGACGCCGCGUGGGUGAAGAAAUCCUUCGGGAUGUAAAGCCCUGUUGUAUGGGAAGAGCGGAAGACGGUACCAUACGAGGAAGCCCCGGCAAACUACGUGCCAGCCGCCGC
rnacentral:rRNA from 1 species